AACGAACGCUGGCGGCAUGCCUAACACAUGCAAGUCGAACGAGACCUUCGGGUCUAGUGGCGCACGGGUGCGUAACGCGUGGGAACCUGCCCUUAGCUUCGGAAUAACUCCCCGAAAGGGGUGCUAAUACCGGAUAAUGUCUUCGGACCAAAGAUUUAUCGCCUUUGUAUGGGCCCGCGUUGGAUUAGCUAGUUGGUAGGGUAAAAGCCUACCAACGCGACGAUCCAUAGCUGGUCUGAGAGGAUGAUCAGCCACACUGGGACUGAGACACGGCCCAGACUCCUAAGGGAGGCAGCAGUAGGGAAUAUUGGACAAUGGGCGAAAGCCUGAUCCAGCAAUGCCGCGUGAGUGAUGAAGGCCUUAGGGUUGUAAAGCUCUUUUACCCGGGAUGAUAAUGACAGUACCGGGAGAAUAGGCUCGGGCUAACUCCGUG
rnacentral:rRNA from 1 species